CGCCAGACUCCUACGGGAGGCAGCAGUCGGGAAUAUUGCGCAAUGGAGGAAACUCUGACGCAGUGACGCCGCGUAUAGGAAGAAGGUUUUCGGAUUGUAAACUAUUGUCGUUAGGGAAGAUACAAGACAGUACCUAAGGAGGAAGCCCCGGCUAACUAUGUGCCAGCAGCCGCGGUAAUACAUAGGGGGCAAGCGUUAUCCGGAUUUAUUGGGUGUAAAGGGGGCGCAGACGGCGAUGCAAGCCAGGAGUGAAAGCCCGGGGCCCAACCCCGGGACUGCUCUUGGAACUGCGUGGCUGGAGUGCAGGAGGGGCAGGCGGAAUUCCUGGUGUAGCGGUGAAAUGCGUAGAUAUCAGGAGGAACACCGGUGGCGAAGGCGGCCUGCUGGACUGCAACUGACGUUGAGGCUCGAAAGCGUGGGGAGCAAACAGGAUUAGAUACCCGGGUAC
rnacentral:rRNA from 1 species